rnacentral:rRNA from 1 species
UACGUAGGGUGCGAGCGUUGUCCGGAAUUAUUGGGCGUAAAGAGCUUGUAGGCGGUCUGUCGCGUCUGCUGUGAAAAUCCGGGGCUCAACCCCGGACUUGCAGUGGGUACGGGCAGACUAGAGUGUGGUAGGGGAGACUGGAAUUCCUGGUGUAGCGGUGAAAUGCGUAGAGGAUCCGGAGGAACCCCAAAGGCGAAGGCGGCGUCCUGGCUCGCAUCUGACGC